rnacentral:lncRNA from 1 species
GCUCCAGCUCGCGGGGGGGAGACUCGGGAUCCAUCUGGGAAAAGAGACCCCAAACCCUUCAGGGAUCGCCCCAAAGCCUUCAGGGGUCACCCCAAAAAUCUUCAGGGAAUCACCCCAAAAACCUAAAGCGAUCGCCCCAAAACCUUCAGGGAAUCACCCCAAAAACCUUCAGGGAAUCACCCCAAAAACCUUCAGGGAAUCACCCCAAAAUGUUCAGGGAAUCACCCCAAAAACCUUCAGGGAAUCACCCCAAAAACCUUCAGGGAACCACCCCAAAAUGUUCCGGGAUCACCCCACAAACCUUCAGGGAAUCACCCCAAAAUGUUCAGGGAUCAUCCCAAAAACCUUCAGAGAUCGCCUGAAAACCCUUCAGCGAAUCACCCCAAAAACCUAAAGCGAUCGCCCCAAAACGUUCAGGGAAUCACCCCAAAACCUUCAGGGAUCGCCCCAAACCCUUCAGGGGUGACCCCAAAAAACCUUCAGGGGUCACCCCGAAAUGUUCAGGGCUCACCCCGAAGCCUUCAGGGAUCGCCCCAAAAGGGUUUGGGCGGGGUUGGACUUUCAUCCCAAACAGCCUCAAGGGGGAUCUCUGAACCCCGACUUUGCCCCUGGCAGGAAAAAUUUCUUAGAGAUCCAGAGGUGCCCCCCACACCCCAAAAGCUCCUCAAUAUCUUUCUAAAGAUCCCCCUAGCCACGCUAAAAUGUUCUUGUGGAGGUUUCAAGCUCCUCUUGAGCACCCAACACCCCCCCGGGAUCCCCAAACCCCUCACAGGACGCCCCAAAAUCCUUCCAGGCCUCGGGGCCCUGCCCCAGCGCCUCCUUGAACAACCAAACCCGCUCUUGGAGGGGAUCUCGAGCCCCCCCCCCCCCGAGCCGCGCACCCAAAGAGCCCCCGGGAACCCCGAAAUUCUCACUGGGACCCUCAAGGUUGUUUGUGUCCCCCAGAAAUCCCCCCCGGAGCCCGAAGCCCCUCAGGCAGGGCGGUACCUCCGCAACGUCCUCGUGACGGGCGUCAGGGGGCUCGGCGGCGCCUUUUAUACUCCGCGAAAACCACGCCCACACCGCGCUGACCACGCCCACCAGAACCGCCACCCCCGGCGCCGCCGAGGCGCCCGCGCCGGGCGGAUCAAAGGGCACGAGGCGGGAGGGGGGCCGGAAACGCCCCGAGGCGAACGGGGCGGGACACAGCCUCAGAGGGCGCGACGUGGAGUCUCUGGUUCGCGCCACGCCUCAGCGGGACGCCUGUUAUGGGAGUCU